UAUAUAAAAGAACAACAUAACUACCACCAAUUUUCCAACAGAACAACCCAAGAGUUUCGAAAUGGCAUACCAAAACAACAAUUAUAGGUGGAGUCACAUCCAUGAGAUUUUGGAACCUGCAUCUUAUCCACCGCAUCAUCAUCAUCAUCAAAACCACCAUGUUGCAACAUACGAGAAACCUAUAUCCGGGGCAAACCAAUCAUACCAUGUAAAGGUUCGUCGUGAGACAGAGGACGGUCGACAAGAUACGAGGUUUCUCAACCGAAAUAACAGUGUUGAUCUAGAAGCGGAGGCUUUUAUCCGACAUGAGCAUUGGAAGAUGGCAUUAGCCAAAUUGAUGUCAUCAAUGGGUGCUACUUAAUUGACCAUUCUUCUAUCUUAUCUAUGUAGGGCCUUCAUGUGUGUCAAAUUGCUGGUAUUGUAGAAGAUCUGUGUUCAUUUUACGUGGAUUUAUAUUCAUUGAAGUUGUUGUAUGAUUGUGUCCCUUCAACUUAUUUGUUACAGCUCUAUUUUAAGCUAUUGUUUCAAAUACAAUAAUCUACACCUCAAGUACUCUGGCAUGUAUUCUUUUUUUUCAAUUAAUUAAUAAAUCAAGGCCUUACUUUUGUAUUGUA